GGAGGUGGGAGUCAAACCAUAUCAGUUUCCGUGGGAGUGAGAAGCAUGGGGAAAUUUAGCCCAACUCAUUGCUUCGGUAGGCUGGCGACCAAUUC
rnacentral:pre_miRNA from 1 species